rfam:Dengue virus type 3 vector p3, complete sequence
AUGAACAACCAACGGAAAAAGACGGGAAAACCGUCUAUCAAUAUG